ACAGCUGGCCAGCAGGCGGGGCCUCCGUGUCUGUGGCGGGGAUGUCACCUUUCUUCGCAGGAAGAAACACUCUGUCUUCCUGCUUUGAGGACAGCUGAAGUCUUGCCACUUCUUCUGGAUGCUCUGACCAUCAGUAAGAGACACGGUCUGACUUUGUUACCCCGGCUGGAGUGCAGUGGUGCAAUCAUGGCUCACUGCAGCCUUAACCUCCUGGGCUCAAGUGAUCCUCUCGCCAAGGCUAGGAUAAGUAGCUAGGACUACAGAUGCGCCCCAUCACGCCCAGCUAAUUUUACAACUUCUGUAGAGAUGGAGUGUUGCUGGGUUGCCCAGGCUGGUCUUGAAUUCCUGGGCUCAAGCGAUCCUCCUGUGUCCGGAAUUGGUGGGUUCUUGGUCUCACUGACUUCAAGAAUGAAGCCGCGGACCCUCGCGAGUCUGUAUCCACCAGCUACUCUUCCAGAUUCAUGAGGCAAGGCCUGCCUGCUCACCUGGCUGGCCCCAAGCACCUCUUCAACCUGUUGCCACCGUCCUGCCUUGCUGCCCUUCUCAGCUCAUCCAG
ensembl:lncRNA SCIRT stem cell inhibitory RNA transcript